AUUGAACGCUGGCGGCAGGCCUAACACAUGCCAGUCGAGCGAGCGGAGGAAGGGUGAGUAAUGUCUGGGAAACUGCCUGAUGGAGGGGGAUAACUACUGGAAACGGUAGCUGAUACCGCAUACCAUCAGAUGUGCCCAGAUGGGAUUAGCUGGUAGGAGGGGGAACGGCUCACCUAGGCGACGGGCCCUAGCUGGUCUGAGAGGAUGACCAGCCACACUGGAACUGAGACACGGUCCAGACUCCUACGGGAGGCAGCAGUGGGGAAUAUUGCACAAUGGGCGCAAGCCUGAUGCAGCCAUGCCGCGUGUGUGAAGAAGGCCUUCGGGUUGUAAAGCACUUUCAGCGGGGAUGCGUUACCCGCAGAAGAAGCACCGGCUAACUCCGUGCCAGCAGCCGCGGUAAUUC
rnacentral:rRNA from 1 species